rnacentral:rRNA from 1 species
GUGGGGAAUCUUAGACAAUGGGGGAAACCCUGAUCUAGCCAUGCCGCGUGAGCGAUGAAGGCCUUAGGGUUGUAAAGCUCUUUCAGCUGGGAAGAUAAUGACGGUACCAGCAGAAGAAGCCCCGGCUAACUCCGUGCCAGCAGCCGCGGUAAUACGGAGGGGGCUAGCGUUGUUCGGAAUUACUGGGUGUAAAGCGCGCGUAGGCGGACCAGAAAGUUGGAGGUGACAUCCCAGGGCUCAACCUUGGAACUGCCUUCAAAACUCCUGGUCUGGAGUUCGAGAGAGGUGAGUGGAAUUCCGAGUGUAGAGGUGAAAUUCGUAGAUAUUCGGAGGAACACCAGUGGCGAAGGCGGCUCACUGGCUCGAUACUGACGCUGAGGUGCGAAAGCGUGGGGAGCAAACAGGAUUAGAUACCCGAGUAGUCC